rnacentral:lncRNA from 1 species
AUUCAUCCAUCAUCCGAUUUUCAAUUGAAGGAUAUCGUGGCUAAGAUAAAUAAGGGUUUGAAGUUAGAAAAAGCACAUAAAUGAGGGUUUGAGAGUUUAUCAGAAUGAGGAGCUUCGUAGUAGAAUGCAUUAUUCAUAUAGUGAUUGAAUUCCACCAAUUAUAGGCUCAAGGUAGAACAGAAGACAUCUAAAAGGCAAGAAUGUGGAGGAUCACAUGGAUAUGACAAUGCAAUUUUCUCCAUGAGGACCAUUUUUAUUGCUCAUGGACCUAAAUUUGCUUGGGGUGAAAUGUCCCAUCUUUCGAGAAUGUGCAGAUCUACAACAUGGUUACGACCAUCCUCAACAUUACAGGAGCUCCUAACAAUGGGAAAGCAUCACUCUCAUAGUCUAUUCUUUUGCCAAACCAUUGAAAAUUAUCUCGAGUGUUGACACUGAGUAACCAAACUGAAUUGGGUAUCGUGAGGCUUGGUUGUUGGGUAUGCUGUGCUUAGGUAGUGUUUUAGUUGUGAUUUUGUAUAAUUCAUCAUGUAAAUUACUCAUGAUUACUUAUUCAUUAGGUAUUUGCAAUUUGUGUAUUGUCUUGAAUUGGUAAAAUGACUGAGUUACACUUCAUCAGUUUUGGCUUCCU